GACGAACGCUGGCGGCGUGCCUAAUACAUGCAAGUCGAACGCACAGUUUAUACCGUAGCUUGCUACACCAUAGACUGUGAGUUGCGAACGGGUGAGUAACGCGUAGGUAACCUGCCUGGUAGCGGGGGAUAACUAUUGGAAACGAUAGCUAAUACCGCAUAAUAUUGAUUAUUGCAUGAUAAUUGAUUGAAAGAUGCUAUUGCAUCACUACCAGAUGGACCUGCGUUGUAUUAGCUAGUAGGUGAGGUAACGGCUCACCUAGGCGACGAUACAUAGCCGACCUGAGAGGGUGAUCGGCCACACUGGGACUGAGACACGGCCCAGACUCCUACGGAAGGCAGCAGUAGGGAAUCUUCGGCAAUGGACGAAAGUCUGACCGAGCAACGCCGCGUGAGUGAAGAAGGUUUUCGGAUCGUAAAGCUCUGUUGUAAGAGAAGAACGGGUGUGAGAGUGGAAAGUUCACACUGUGACGGUAUCUUACCAGAAAGGGACGGCUAACUACGUG
rnacentral:rRNA from 1 species